UGGGGGAUAUUGCACAAUGGGCGAAAGCCUGAUGCAGCGACGCCGCGUGGGGGAUGAAGGCCUUCGGGUUGUAAACUUCUUUUGCUCUGAACAAGGCAUGCCUUUGGGGUGUGUUGAGUGUAGGGGUUGAUUAGCGCCGGCUAACUACGUGCCAGCAGCCGCGGUAAUACGUAGGGCGCGAGCGUUGUCCGGAAUUAUUGGGCGUAAAGGGCUUGUAGGUGGCUGGUUGCGUCUGUCGUGAAAGCUCAUGGCUUAACUGGGGGUUUGCGGUGGGUACGGGCUGGCUUGAGUGCAGUAGGGGAGGCUGGAAUUCCUGGUGUAGCGGUGGAAUGCGCAGAUAUCAGGAGGAAUACCGGUGGCGAAGGCGGGUCUCUGGGCUGUUACAGACGCUGAGGAGCGAAAGCGUGGGGAGCGAACAGG
rnacentral:rRNA from 1 species